UGGGAUGUCGCCAAGCGGUAAGGCACCAGACUUUGACUCUGGCAUUCGCAGGUUCGAUCCCUGCCAUCCCAG
rnacentral:tRNA from 1 species